CCUCCGCCGCGUCGAGGACGUAAACGUCGUCGUCGCACUCAACCUCUUGCUCUCCUUCCGGUGUGAUAAAUUUGACCUUGUAUGUAGCCAUGGCUGUGACGCGUCCGCCGCGUGAGGUGGCUGAUUUGAGACCGAAGAGGGAUUGAGUGUUGCCUGAUGGGAGGGAACGGAGGCUGAUCGGAGCUGUUUGACGGCGGAUGAAGGAUGUUCCGACGAUGGCGCUUGAGAGAGCUGUGGAAGCCAUUUUUUCUGUGUUUUAGAUUUUUAGAUGAUUUGAGAGAUUUUUGGGUUUCUUCUCUCUGUGUUAUGGCUUGUGGAAAUGGC
rnacentral:lncRNA from 1 species